rnacentral:rRNA from 1 species
AUUGAACGCGGGCGGCAUGCUUUACACAUGCAAGUCGGACGGCAGCACAGAGAAGCUUGCUUCUUGGGUGGCGAGUGGCGAACGGGUGAGUAAUAUAUCGGAACGUACCGAGUAAUGGGGGAUAACUAAUCGAAAGAUUAGCUAAUACCGCAUAUUCUCUGAGGAGGAAAGCAGGGGACCUUCGGGCCUUGCGUUAUUCGAGCGGCCGAUAUCUGAUUAGCUAGUUGGUGGGGUAAAGGCCUACCAAGGCGACGAUCAGUAGCGGGUCUGAGAGGAUGAUCCGCCACACUGGGACUGAGACACGGCCCAGACUCCUACGGGAGGCAGCAGUGGGGAAUUUUGGACAAUGGGCGCAAGCCUGAUCCAGCCAUGCCGCGUGUCUGAAGAAGGCCUUCGGGUUGUAAAGGACUUUUGUCAGGGAAGAAAAGGCUGUUGCUAAUACCGACAGCUGAUGACGGUACCUGAAGAAUAAGCACCGGCUAACUACGUGCCAGCAGCCGCGGUAAUACGUAGGGUGCGAGCGUUAAUCGGAAUUACUGGGCGUAAAGCGAGCGCAGACGGUUACUUAAGCAGGAUGUGAAAUCCCCGGGCUCAACCUGGGAACUGCGUUCUGAACUGGGUGACUAGCGUGUGUCAGAGGGAGGUAGAAUUCCACGUGUAGCAGUGAAAUGCGUAGAGAUGUGGAGGAAUACCGAUGGCGAAGGCAGCCUCCUGGGAUAACACUGACGUUCAUGCUCGAAAGCGUGGGUAGCAAACAGG